rnacentral:rRNA from 1 species
GUGCAGCAGGCGAGAAACCUCCGCAAUGCGGGAAACCGCGACGGGGGACCCCGAGUGCCGUGGCAACGCCACGGCUUUUCCGGAGUGUAAAAAGCUCCGGGAAUAAGGGCUGGGCAAGGCCGGUGGCAGCCGCCGCGGUAAUACCGGCGGCCCGAGUGGUGGCCGCUAUUAUUGGGCCUAAAGCGUCCGUAGCCGGGCCCGUAAGUCCCUGGCGAAAUCCCACGGCUCAACCGUGGGGCUUGCUGGGGAUACUGCGGGUCUUGGGACCGGGAGAGGCGGGGGGUACCCCUGGGGGUAGGGGUGAAAGUCCUAUAAUCCCCAGGGGGACCGCCAGUGGCGAAGGCGCCCCCGCUGGAACGGGUCCGACGGUGAGGGACGAAGG